AGGUUAAGGACAGAAAGUCUGGAGCCGAAGGGAAACCAAGUCUUAAUAGGGCGAAUGAGUCAGUUAGUGUAGACCCGAAACCGGGUGAUCUAUCCAUGUCCAGGUUGAAGCUGCAGUAAGAUGCAGUGGAGGACCGAACCCACAUCCGUUGAAAAGGGUGGGGAUGAGGUGUGGAUAGGGGAGAAAUUCCAAUCGAACCCGGAGAUAGCUGGUUCUCCUCGAAAUAGCUUUAGGGCUAGCCUCAUAAUAAGUCUUAUGGAGGUAGAGCACUGAAUUUCUGCGGGGGCGUCAAAGCCUACCAAGGAAUAUCAAACUCCGAAUGCCAUGUAGAUGUUUUAUGGGAGUCAGACUGCACGAGAUAAGUUGGGUAGUCAAAAGGGAAAGAGCCCAGACCACCGGCUAAGGUCCCAAAGUGUGUGUUAAGUGGAAAAGGAUGUGGGAUUUCGAAGACAACUAGGAUGUUGGCUCAGAAGCAGCCAUACAUUCAAAGAGUGCGUAACAGCUCACUAGUCGAGAGGUCCUGCGCCGAAAAUGUCCGGGGCUAAAACACAA
rnacentral:rRNA from 1 species